UACGGAGGAUGCAAGCGUUAUCCGGAGUGAUUGGGCGUAAAGCGUCCGCAGGUGGCAAUGUAAGUCUGCUGUCAAAGCGUCUGGCUCAACCAGAUAAAGGCAGUGGAAACUACAUAGCUAGAGUAAGGUAGGGGUAGAGGGAAUUCCUGGUGUAGCGGUGAAAUGCGUAGAGAUCAGGAAGAACACCGGUGGCGAAAGCGCUCUGCUGGACCUUAACUGACACUGAGGGACGAAAGCUAGGGGAGCGAAUGGG
rnacentral:rRNA from 1 species